GACGUAGGGGGCCAGCGUUGUUCGGAAUUAUUGGGCGUAAAGAGCUCGUAGGCGGUUUGUCGCGUCUGCCGUGAAAGUCCGGGGCUCAACUCCGGAUCUGCGGUGGGUACGGGCAGACUAGAGUGAUGUAGGGGAGACUGGAAUUCCUGGUGUAGCGGUGAAAUGCGCAGAUAUCAGGAGGAACACCGAUGGCGAAGGCGGGUCUCUGGGCCGUAACUGACGCUGAGGAGCGAAAGCAUGGGGAGCGAACGGG
rnacentral:rRNA from 1 species